UUACUUACCUGGACGGGGUCGACGGGCGACCAAGAAGGUCUGCAUUGCACUUGAUGUGUGCAUUGGCCCAUCAUCUUCUCAAGUGGGAGAAUGAACUCAUAAUUUGUGAUAGAGAGGGUACGCGUUCGCGCGGCCCCUGC
rnacentral:snRNA from 2 species